rnacentral:sRNA from 1 species
UCCUAGCCCAGAUAAAAGCGGCAUCCUUUUCUUUUUUCCUUUAAAAAAGAAAAGAUAUAGCGGAUAGCUGGAAAUAGC